GGGGGUAUAGCUCAGUUGGUAGAGUGCUUGCCUUGCAUGUAGAAGGCCCUGAGUUCAAUAACCAGCACCCCCU
rnacentral:tRNA from 1 species